CACCCAGCAACAGAGGCUGGUGCACUGAGGAACAGUGAGCUUUGGUGCCCAUCACUUCCCAGGGCUGGCUGCUCUAAUGCUGGAUACCCCACAGAAGCCUGUUUAAUCUAUCUUUUGUUUGAGGAUAUAUGGGUUGGCAAACAUGACUGCCUCCCUCUGGUUACUGCAGAAGAAGUCUGAGUUUCUUCCUGGUCUGGGUCAGAAGCAAGUGGACAAUGGUCUGAAUGCUGCUCAGUCUGCACCUAGCCUUAUAACAGCUCUGAUUCCACCCUGCCAUCCCAGCUCCACCCAAACAGCACAUUAGCUCCUGUUGGGGAUGGACUGAAGCUUGCUGUUGACGGUAAGCCUGAGGACAUGGCUCUGGGGCUGAUCAGUAGUUGGGGCUACUGGCCUGCUCAGGUUUGAAGCACACAGAAGAAGAGGGAUUACUGAUGAAUGAGGAGAAUACCUUGGCCUGACGGAAACAGUUCUGUUUGUGAGCAUGAAAGAGGGAGGAGGGCAAGAAGAAUUCAGAACUUUCACUUUACACUUCAGAAAGGAUUUAAGGUGUAUUAAGUGGAGAAUCAAAGUCUACAAAGAUCAUAACGCUAAAGAGGGAGGGAAGAUUUGACAUCAUAAGCUGAGACGCUGUGACUUCUUGAUGUGAACUCCUUUGGAAGCUUUCAGAGCCAUGUAUAAGGAGAGCAAGUCUGGUCUUCUCUUUGUGUCAAGAAACUGGAUUAGGAAUACUGGAGAAUUUCUCUAUUACUUCAGAACUUCAGUCAGGCACAGCUCAGCACAUGGGGGUGUCCAGCUCCUAAAUGAGAUUAUUUUAAUGCCAGAACAUUAUCCUCUGAGCUUUGCACAAGACCCUUCUGACUUACAGUAAGACUGAGGGGAGACCUCUUCACCAUCUACAACUUCCUCGUGCAAGGAAGAGGAGGGGCAGACACCAGUUUCUUCUCUGUGGUGACCAGUGACAGGACCCAAGGGAAUGGCCUGAAGUUAUGUUAGGGGAGGUUUGGGUUGGAUAUUAGAAAAAUGUUCUUCACCCAGAGGGUGGCUGAGCACUGGAAGGGGUUUCCCAGGGAAGUGGUCACAACACCAAGCUGGACAGAGUUCAAGAAGAGUUUGGGCAAUGCUCUCAGGCACGUGUUAUGACUCUUGAGCAUGAUUCUGUGCAGUGCUAGGAGUUGGACUCAAUGAUUCUUGUAGGUCCCUUCCAACUGAGCAUAUUCUAUGAUUCUGUGAUUUUUUUUUUUUUAGUGUCCUGUAUGUGAGAAAACAGGACAAUUUUAGAAAAUGGACAGAUAAUACUAAAUUAAGAGCAUCCAGGUGAAUCAUUCCCUGGAGUGUGAGGAAAUAAACUAUGAAUUGCAAAUAUUUA